GAAGAGCCGAAUCCCUCCCCCCCCUCUCCUCUCUCCUCUCAAGUCUUAUAUUGUAAGGGUUCAUGUACAAACCAUCAGAGACAUCAAGCUUUUGAUGUUGACUUUCCAAGUAAUUAAAGAAAGGAAUUCUUGAUUAUUUACAAUAAUAAUCAAAAGAAAUGGUGAGAAAAAGCAAUCGAGAAAACAAAAUAAAAAGGCGGAGAAAUAAAAGACGUCGUGACUUCGAACCUCCUCCGUGUGCUCCCUAUUUUUGGUCAAUGAUAAUCUUCAUCUACUGAAGAAAUCGAUAUCUCCAUAGCUUCUACUUCUCGAUUUCAAGCUUCAACAAAUAUCCAAUACUGCUUCUCGAUUUCUAGCUUCAACAAAUAUCGACGGCUUCGGUGUCGAUCGCCUUAUCCCCGAUUUCUUUGUGUUUCGAUUUUGCAAACCUAAUUCAAGUCAUAGGUAAUUAUUGGAUUUUUACUUUGAAUGAUAUAUGAUUCUUAAUCAAUUUAUUAUUUUGAUUAUUUGGUCGAUUUAUGUAUAAAUAAAAUAAGAAUUGAACAUCCCAUCUAACCUCUCAAAUUGAAAUUAUAACAAAGUGAUUUGUGAAUGUAUUUUGAUCAGAAUCUGACCGCAAGGAACAUAUGAAUCUGCUAUUUAACUUUUUAGAUUUCCAUGUAUUAGUAUUGUGGAGAAAAUAGGGAUUAUUAUUGGUUUUUGUUUCAUUAUUUUGUAAAUUAUUUGCCAUUACUUUGAAGUCAUAACCUCAUACGGUCUUCGAACAAGUUGAGUUUUUUCCCAGAUUGUUGUCAUUUGUAUUGGCUUCAUUAUAGGAUAAAAAAACAGCUUAGUUGGUUAAGAAUCGAUCAACUUACAUAGCUAUAAACAGGUGGUGCUAGAGUUGUUAGUUUUUGUUCAACAUUUUGUAAAAUUUAGCCCAACUUUGAAAAGUCAUAAAUUCCUCAUACAACCUUACAAUAUCUGACCUUUUUUCCCAUAUUGUAGUCCUCUGUAUUGGCCUUAUUUUAUGCUAAAAAAUAUCUUAAUUGGGUAAGAACUUAUUGACUUACACAACCCUAAACAUGGGCUGUUAGAGUUGUUUUUUUAUCAGCAUUUUGUAAAAUUUUAGCCCGACUUUAAACAACCAUAAAUUUCUCAUACGACCUCGGGACGAGCUGCUCAUAUUUUAGUCCUAUAUCGUGGCUUCGUUUUAGGAUUAAAAAUAUCUUAAUUGGUUAGGAAUUGACGAACUUACGUAGUCCUAAACAUGGUUUGUUAGAGCUAUUCAGUUUUUUGUGUUUUGUUUUUUUAUUUUUUUGGUGCAGAAGUUGAAAUUCUUAACUGAGACAGCGGGACAAAUACAAGUGGAUUCGGUUGGGAUACAGCUAAAUGAUGCGUUACUGCUAAUGUUGAAGUUAAGGCGAUUGAUAUAUUUAGAAAAUAUCAAUUCCACGCCCGAUCAUUUUUUUAAGAUGACGGAGUUGUUACGUGAAAAUAAUUGCGAAUGGCUCAAUAGCAUGAUUAGACUAUUUUAAGUUCUGUUUUUUUAGUUGUUACGAAUACUAAAUUUGACUUAUUGCACAUUCAUUAUUGGGUAUAGUUUUUAAAUAGUAUGAUUUUCAUAUUUCUUUA